rnacentral:rRNA from 1 species
ACUCUUGACAUCCAGAGAACUUUCCAGAGAUGGAUUGGUGCCUUCGGGAACUCUGAGACAGGUGCUGCAUGGCUGUCGUCAGCUCGUGUUGUGAAAUGUUGGGUUAAGUCCCGCAACGAGCGCAACCCUUAUCCUUGUUUGCCAGCACUUCGGGUGGGAACUCCAGGGAGACUGCCGGUGAUAAACCGGAGGAAGGUGGGGACGACGUCAAGUCAUCAUGGCCCUUACGAGUAGGGCUACACACGUGCUACAAUGGCGCAUACAGAGGGCAGGCCAACUUGCGAGAGUGAGCGAAUCCCAAAAAGUGCGUCGUAGUCCGGAUCGGAGUCUGCAACUCGACUCCGUGAAGUCG